ACAAAGUAGGUAUAAACGUCUUCUUUUCUUACAGACACAUUUUUAUUAACAUAGAGAUUACAGAGGGAAGGCUUUGUCCUUCAAGAGGAACUGGCUACCCUUAACAACGGUCCCAUCCGAACAUUAACUAUUGACGUGGUUGUUUCCCCUGGAUCGAAAAGACAAGAAGGAAGAAUAUGAAUAUUAUUUGUAUAAUUGCAGUUUUAACUGCACUUUUGUCCAAUCAUGUCACAGUGUUACAGAUUUUGUCUGUCCUGAGUGAUAGAAGUGUACUCACGAAUAAUUCUCUAGG
rnacentral:sRNA from 1 species